UCUUGUUUGUCAGGGAGAAACGCUUGGUCGUCUCUCUCGUGAGUCUCCUCCCUCUUGCCUCCAGAAAUGAAACCCUAAAUCCUCAAAUCCUCAUGCAAUGUCGAUGUAUGUGUCUCUUGUGAAACACAGGAACCCUAAUCCCGUUAUAUGUGAUUUACUCUUGUCGACAAUAACACCACGACUGCGAAACGAUGCCAAGAAAUGGAUUCGGCUUCGGCUUUCACCGAAGCGACCCCCACCAACUGCGACGAAGAAUAGUCUGCACGUGCACGGAAGCGAGGAAAGAAGCAGUAGAUUCUGAGAAAGAUAAGUAACCCUAACUCUAAUCCCAAAUUUGAUUUCAAUCUUGAUUCAGUACUAUUUCUAGGAUUCUGUUUUAGGUUUGUUCUCUGGUUAUUGAUUCUAGGCUUAGUUUGAUCGAGUUUGGGUACAGAACGAAACACCACGCACACUAACACUCUUUACACAGUGAUAUACGAGUUCGGAUUCCCGGUGUUAGAACCCUAGAUCAAAUUCACCAGAUUAUAGUCGUUUACAACCAAUUCAACAGAGUGAGCAUAGAGUCUAGAUACUUAGCUUGAAUAUUUCCCUAGAACUCUGUCUUGUUCCCAAUCGCAGAGCACUACCGUCUAAUCCCUUGGGAUCGGAACUAACCCUUUACUUCCUUUGCCGUUUGCAGCCACAAGAGGAGCCCUUUCUGUGUAUUUUCACCGUGAAGAACUUUCUGGACGUGUAUCUACCUUGGUUUAAAAAAGCGCUGAGGCGGCUCAAGGCGCGAGAGGUCUAAAAAACCGAGGCGCAAAGCGUAAGGCGAAGGCGCACGCCUCACGUAUACGAGACGCGUAAAUAAAAAAUUAUGGUGAUGAUGGCCUCACGUGGGGUCAAGUUGGUAGAGUUGCUGGAGCCCAUGAUCUUAGUUAUCAUACUAGAGGAUCAACAAGUGCAAAAAAUAGUACUACUUCUUCCUCGUCAAUUCAUAAAGGAAAGGGUAUUGCUUAUUCCGAUGAGCAUGAAGAAGAUAUCGGGGAAGACAAAGAUUAUGAAGAUGAUGGAGAAUACGAAGAUGUCGAUUUUGAUUAAAUGUUUCACAAAUAAAUAUUUGCAUUUUCUCUUUGUUUAUUUUACUUGGACUUAUUUUAGAUAAUUUGGUAAUUGAAUUUUAUAUUUAAAAUUUAUUCUUGUUAAUUUUUCAUUUACGCGUCUCGCAUGCGUGAGGCGUGCGCCUUGCGCUUUGCGCCUCGGUUUUUUAGA